rnacentral:tRNA from 1 species
GGGGUUUAGCUCAGUGGUAGAGCGCUUGCCUAGCAAGCGUAAAGGCCCUGGGUUCGGUUCCCAGCUCCG